rnacentral:rRNA from 1 species
UACAGAGGGUGCGAGCGUUGUCCGGAAUCACUGGGCGUAAAGGGCGCGUAGGCGGCCUGGUAAGUAGGGGGUGAAAUCCUGCGGCUCAACCGCAGGGCUGCCUUCUAAACUGUCAGGCUGGAGCACGGUAGAGGCAGAUGGAAUUCCCGGUGUAGCGGUGGAAUGCGUAGAGAUCGGGAAGAAGACCGGUGGCGAAGGCGGCCCCCUGGGCAGUAACUGACACUGAGGCGCGACAGCGUGGGGAGCAAACAGG